GACGAACGCUGGCGGCGUGCUUAACACAUGCAAGUCGAGCGGUAAGGCCCUUUCGGGGUACGACGAGCGGCGAACGGGUGAGUAACACGUGGGUGACCUGCCCUCCAGCUCUGGGAGUAAGCCUGGGAAACCGGGUCUAAUACUGGAUAUGACUCCAUGACGCAUGUUGUGGGGUGGAAAGACCUUGUGCGGCUGAGGAUGGGCCCGGCGGCCUAUCAGCUUGUUGGUGGGGUGAGGCCUACCAAGGCGACGACGGGUAGCCGGCCUGAGAGGGCGACCGGCCACACUGGGACUGAGACACGGCCCAGACUCCUACGGGAGGCAGCAGUGGGGAAUCUUGCGCAAUGGGCGAAAGCCUGACGCAGCGACGCCGCGUGAGGGAUGACGGCCU
rnacentral:rRNA from 1 species